GCUCCUGUAGCUCAGUUGGAUAGAGUGCAACGUUGCGAACGUUGAGGUCACAGGUUCGAAUCCUGUCAGGGGCACCA
rnacentral:tRNA from 1 species